GAACCCUGUUGACAAAAAAAGUAAGAAAACAUAUUUUCAAUUUUAGCAAUUUUAAAUAUGGAUGAAAUUGAGGUCAAAAUUCUAACUUUUUCUUUUUUCUGUAGAUGUAUAUUCUCAGUUUUUUAAUCCUGUUAUGUUUUCUCUUUAUUUCAUUUCUCCGUCAACUCAUGUCACAUGACUGGAGCUGACCAACAAUUAAAGCAGAAGACCUGCUCCACCUGCUGAUCUACUGGUUGUAACAGAUUGUGGAAAAGCAUAACUGAGACAAGACAACAGCACUGAACCAAUCAGGAGAGAGAAGACACAGAAAAUCCUGCUGGAAAUCCCGAGAUGAAGUUUCCUGAUGCAACAGGGGGAAACCUGAGGACACAGAAUAAAGAAGGACCAUGUGAAACUCAUGAAGAGGAUGGUCAGAGUUGUCCAUAGCUUUCUUGACUCUUAUGAAGAAUCCUUCUUUGCAUCAUCUCCAGAGGUUCCCCAGUCGUCUCCAGAACAGAACCAGAACAAAUCCAGCCUUCUUUAUCAGAUUGUUGAGCCUUUUGAGGUUCCUGGCUCUGAUGCUGCUGCACCAACAGAUGAUAGCAGAAGAGAUGACACUCUCAGCAUCAGACUUAAAGAUCUGCAGCAACUUGCUGCAAAUCUUGAAGGAUCGUAGCUUCCUCGAGAAGCGCAGUCUGCUCUGUCUCUUUUUAUAGACGGCUUCACUGUUGCGUCUCCAGUCCAGUCUGUGUUCCAGAUGAACACCGAGUCAAGAUUAGAUGAUUGUUCCCACACCAGGCCACAAAGUGAUCCACCAGAUCUCUGUACUCAGCCUCUUGUCUUCCUCUGAUACACACAACAACUGCAGAGUCGUCUGAGUAUUUCUGUAGAUGACAGAAGUUGGACUUGUGCGGGAAGUCUGAACAGUAGAGAGUGAAAAUGAAUGGUAGUCACAGAUGCAGGUGAUUGUUGAGGCCUCCACCUGUGUCUUCUGGAGUUUCUAACGGAGCAGAUCAGGCUGAAUUGUGUUCAAUGCACCUGAGAACCAAAGACCCUGAUCCUCACUGUGCUGCCUGCUUUGUCCAGAUGACAGUGGGUUUGUUGAAGCAGGUGUCUGAUCAACUCCAACUCCACGGUGAUAAGCAAACUGCAGGGGGUCCUGAUAUCUGAUCGUCUGCUUACUCAAGUGGGCCACCAGGAGUCUCUCCAGGACCUUCAUGAUGUGCGAUGCCAGGGCAACGGGUCUACAGUCGUUAUGACUGAUGGGUGACUUUUCUUCGGUACCGGAACCAGGCAGGAUGUCUUCCACAACAACGGAACCUCCUCUUGGGUCAGGCAAAGGUUGAAGAGAUGCUGCAGAAUCCCACAGAGGGACUCUGGGACCGACACCAUCUGGACCUGCAUCCUCGUUCCUGUUCAGUCUCUCCGGCUGCUUCUUCACCUGACUUCUAGAUACAGAAAAGUUGGAGGUGGAGGCAAAAGGGAGCAGCAGCGUCUCCUAAUGUGGUUGAAGACAAACUGGUGGAAGCAGAAGAGUCCAUGACUGAGGUGGAAGAUGGAACAUCUGAGGCUUGACAGGAAAGCUGUGGGUCAGAGGAGGAUGAGAUAUCUGGCUGCAGACAGGA